CCGAAUCGUGCUUGGAGUCAUUGCAGCGAUUGGAUUCUUCACUCUCAGUGAAGCCCUGACAUGUAAUUCUUGUAAAGUGGGCAUUCUAGGCAAAUGUUUAUUCAGUUCCCAAGUGUCCUGCGCUGCCUCUGAGCCCAACUGCUACACUGCCAAAGCAGAGUUCAAUGUGACUGGGUUUCUGAGUCUGUCCUCAAGUGGCUGCACAUCUGACUGCAACAACACCGCCGGGACCGUCCUGGGAGCAGGGUACACCGUGACCAAAGCCUGCUGCGCCACAGACCUGUGCAGCGGAGCGAGUGCAGCGCAGCUGUCUGUGGCUGGGGCUCUCAGCGCCGCACUACUGGCCUCCUUCUCUUACACCUUCUCGUCUGUACAGUGUUAUGCUCUCAAUACCUCACUGAAUCGGAAUCAGUGAAGAUAUGAUCUAUAGAUCCCAAAACUUCCUGUAACUUGAAUAGUUUUACACCACUGUGUUUACUUAUCUCUUUGCUAAUAUGCAGUGGUAUUUUUUUUUUACAAUAAUUUACAUACGAUGUAAAACAUAUUUAAAAUUUCAACACUUUAGCUGAUGUCAUUUUUAAUAAAACCUAUAUUUGGAUGCA
ensembl:lncRNA